CCAUAUUUGUUAUGAUUUUCAUAUUGAGUCUUUCUCAUUUUAUUUUCUAAUGGGUUUUGUUCUCUUUGUUUUUGUUUCAAUUUACUUAAAACAAAACGCACGCCUCCUGCAUUGGCCACCUGCUGCGGCACCAACCCCUUCAUGCAUUGCCCUUUUCUUGCUGCUGUGUUGGGAUGGUGCGCGCACCACCCUCACUCACCCUCCAUUUCUUGAUCACUGUCCAUGUUCUUGCACCUCUGCCUUCCACUUCCUGGUCAUAGACGAGCUGUACGCUCAGAAACUGAAGUACAAAGCCAUCAGCGAGGAGCUGGACCACGCUCUCAACGAUAUGACUUCCAUAUAAGUUUCUUUGCUUCACUUCUCCCAAGACUCCCUCGUCGAGCUGGAUGUCCCACCUCUCUGAGCUCUGCAUUUGUCUGUUCUCCAGCUGACCCUGGUUCUCUCUCUUAGCAUCCUGCCUUAGAGCCAGGCACACACUGUGCUUUCUAUUGUACAGAAGCUCUUCGUUUCAGUGUCAAAUAAACACUGUGUAAGCUA
rnacentral:sRNA from 1 species